UCUUUUCCUUUUGUGCCCGCCGCCGCGGUAAUACGGAAGGUCCGGGCGUUAUCCGGAUUUAUUGGGUUUAAAGGGAGCGUAGGCCGGAGAUUAAGCGUGUUGUGAAAUGUCGGGGCUCAACCUGGGCAUUGCAGCGCGAACUGUCAGACUUGAGUGCGCGGGAAGUAGGCGGAAUUCGUCGUGUAGCGGUGAAAUGCUUAGAUAUGACGAAGAACUCCGAUUGCGAAGGCAGCCUGCUGUAGCGCAACUGACGCUGAAGCUCGAAAGCGUGGGUAUCGAACAGG
rnacentral:rRNA from 1 species